AUUUAGUGGGGAAUAACUGUUGGAAACGACAGCUAAUACCGCAUAAUAUUGCUGGAUAAUUUCCAGUAAUGAAAGGAGCUUUCAAGCUCCGCUGAUUGAUGAGGAUGCGGCGCAUUAGCUAGUUGGUAGGGUAAUGGCCUACCAAGGCAAUGAUGCGUAGCCGAUCUGAGAGGAUGAACGGCCACAUUGGGACUGAGACACGGCCCAAACUUCUACGGAAGGCAGCAGUAGGGAAUUUUUCACAAUGGGCGAAAGCCUGAUGGAGCAAUGCCGCGUGACUGAUGAAGGUCUUCGGAUUGUAAAGGUCUGUUGUAAGGGAAGAAAUGGUAAAACAGGAAAUGGUUUUAUCUAUGACGGUACCUUACCAGAAAGCCACGGCUAACUAUGUGCCAGCAGCCGCGGUAAUACAUAGGUGGCAAGCGUUAUCCGGAUUUAUUGGGCGUAAAGGGUGCGUAGACGGUUUUGCAAGUCUGANGUUAAAUUUAGGAGCUCAACUCCUAAUCGCCUUGGAAACUACAAGACUAGAGUAUAGGAGAGGUUAGUGNAAUUCCAUGUGUAGCGGUGGAAUGUGUAGAUAUAUGGAGGAACACCAGUGGCGAAG
rnacentral:rRNA from 1 species